rnacentral:lncRNA from 1 species
GAAUUUCUAGUAGUCCCAUAAGCACACUGUUGAAGACAAAUUCACCAAAUUCAAUAAGAAAUUAAGUGAAGGGUGUUAAACAACAUUUGCUAAGCUCAAGGUACCUAUGACAAAGAGAAUUUUGGAUUUAGUCCAUUGGUAAAAUCAAAGCACAAUCCCUCAAAUUAUACUUUCCAAAUUACUCCUUUGUCCAAUUUCGGUCCCAUGAACAAUGACACUCUUCCAAAGGCCACAACUUAAUUCCAUAAGGCAAAUUCUAAUCCCUCAGUUUUAUAAUUUUUUUUUUAUAAAUUCACCCAACACAACAUCUUUCAACAUGAUAUCUCACACGUGCAAAUUGGUUUUCAUCUUGUUGUGUAGAAACCCUACCCAAAUGAACAUUUCUUUCAUGAGCUCCAACUUUGGCCACUAAAGACACUAG